CUGAGAGAACGGUCCUUGAUGGAGUGCAAUGGGAGAACAGGAUUCAUGUAGCUGAUUCCAGUUGGUCUUCAGAUGAUGUUGAUCUUCUUGGCAGUUAUCUGUUUGGAUGGUGAUGGUUGCAAGUUAAGAAGUGGACUGGUGAAAAUUGAGGAAGGUUUAACUCUUGACACGUUAAUUGCUUGUGAUUCAUGUGAUCUUUAAAAUUUCAGCUACUUGAAGGUCAAAUCCAUAAAAAAAUGCUUCAAUCAUAGUCGAAUGUGAAAGGUUCAGUGACCCCAUCAGGGACCAACACUCGAAUCGAGCCGAAGAGCCUGGCUUCUCUUUGCAUUCCAUAGUGUGCAUGGUAAAGGUAUGUUCCUGGCUGCAAUAUGUUUAAAGGAGUAAAGGUGAUUUAGAGACCUUACUAAUCCAAUCCUCAAUUACAAAGAUAACAAGCUGUAUGAUAACCGUGGCAUAUAUUGUUCUAUGUAAUGGAGAGCAUUCAAAUCACUGACCUGAUUUUGGAUGGAGUAGAACCAAAGUAAGUUAUAUGGAUGGAUUGUUCCCUUGGAAUUUGUACUAGUUGUUACUGUUUUGCUUUUAACCAUUCAUUUUGAUAGCUAUGCCAUUCAUGCUUUGUUUGAUAGUCUAAUUUGUAUUCUUUUCUUUCCUUAUUUUAGGUGAUCAAAGUGAUCUGCAUGUUAUCAUUUUUUGAUGAAAUUGAUGCUAUUUGCAAGGUUGCUAUCUACACAUGUGAAGAGUGUGGGUUUGAAAUUUACCAAGUAAUAAUGCAUUGUCUGCACAUGUGGCUUUAAGGGAUCGUGUGAAGUUCCUUUCUUCUUCUUUUUUUUGAAAGAUGAGAAAUUUAUUGAAAGAAUGAUGAGAGCUAGGAUUGUGUGAAGUUCUUUUUAAAGCUAUAUGUUUGAAUUGCCUAUCUGUUUUGUACUCUGCAAUUCUGCAUUUGCUGUGUACUUGUAUGUAGCUGAUGAUCCUAGCUCUCUGUUGCCAGUAGAUAUCUUACAAAAUAUAUCAUCUCUAGAUCAUCUGUACAUAUUUUUAACAUGUUGAAUACAAAAUAUAGCAAUGCUUUGAUAAUCAGACUAUUAAUGAUAUGAAUAAAGGCUUAGGAAGACAAGUGGGGUUCAUCAAUAUGAAGUUUGUACUAGGCAAAGGAUCUAUUAUUCUUUGCUCUUAAUGUAAUGGUUAGGACUUACAAGUCAAUAAGGACAGGAAGAGUUUGUUGUUUGCUUGCAAUGUUGUGAUUAUCUGCUUUUGAAAUUUUCAAUCUCAUAGGCUCUUGGAUAAACUUGAUGGUUUGAAGGGUUGCCUUUUGGCCAGAUGGUCAUAGAUAAGAAACUCUACUGGAUAGUUUGGGAUAACAGUUAUCUUUUUUAUGGUAGGUAUCUACCACUAUGAUCUCCUUUGGGAGGGACACUUCUUUAUUCUUUUUUACCCUUUUACUUUUUCUUUUCACUUAUUUUCCACUCUAGAUAGAAAGGCAUUAUUGUUGAAACAAAGGUAAUU